UCGGAUGUGGUGCGUGGUGCACGCCUGCCCCGAUUUGCGAAGGGUAUUAAGGAUUGCAAGCAGGUGAUCUGGGUUCGAUUCCCAGCGUCCGAG